ACAUACUUGAUAACAAAACGCCCUUAAAGAGAAAGAAAACUCAUGUGGCAGAUAGUGGGUUUGGGAAGAUGAGUUGCUCAGGCAGCGUUUCAAAAUUGCAUUUGGAAGAUGCAUUAAAUGAAAUGGAGGCAACUACAACAAGAGUAGACAUACUUGAUAACACUAAGCCCUUAAAGAGAAAGAAAACUCAUGAAGACAUAGUGUUAAAUUCAAUGAAAUCUGAUACAUUAGAAACUGCACUUUUGGACUUGGAGGAACUUGUAAACCGGAUUAAAUGGAUGAAGGGUAUCUUGGAGAUUGGAUUACCUUUGACUGGUGCGAUGCGACCCCGUUGGAAAUUUCUUGGAGAUCAUUCCUCGUCCACCCCAAAGUGAGGGUUUUCACUCACAGUAAGUCACAUGGUAUAUUACAGUUCGUUAUAACAUGAUAAAACUCUGAAUGGCAUUUAGAUUGCUUCUAAUCCACGCAGAUCCAUAUCUAACUUACUAUCUUUGUAGGCACUUAUUUGUUGACCACUGAGCAUGCUGUAAAGCAAUCACAUAUUGACAGGCAAUGACAUGCAGCAAGGUUAAACUUUAUGCAGAACUUUGGUUAACACUUCUCUUGUACACAUAUUCCUGGGUAAAUAGUUUAACUUGAGUAGAAGCUUCGUACUAUAUGUCUAGGGAAUCCACUUGUUGAAUUUCAAAGUCUAAGAGUUGCAGAAGAAAAUUAAGUUUUGUGACUGUUAUAUUUAUGUGUAAAGAGAUUUGUUUGUGAUGCCUGACACAUAAUGAUCGAAGUGUGGAAAUGAGUUUAGGGGAAUUGCCAGUUUGCAAAGCUUAUAAUCUUUUGAAAUCUGGGAAGAGGGGGGGAUUUAACUUUCGUUGAAAAGCUGUAUACUGUUGGCAAAUAAGAUUAGUCACAUUAUAAUAGUUGUCUGAACAAGGCAUUGAGGUCAUAUGCUACUUCUGAGGUGUGAAGCCAAUGCAAUGACAAUGGUUUUUGCUGUGAUAGAAUUGAAAUCUUUCACCAUUUGGUUUUGAUCGUGCAAAUGAUAAAUCUUUAAUGGCAUUCAUAUUGGUUAUGUUGACAAGGUAGGAAGGCAUGCAGGAGCAAAUUUGACUACUACUCAUCUCUGUUCAUCAUAGCAACUUUUUGUUGCAUGUACAGUUUUUUUUGAUGGAUUGCAUGUAGAUAUUGAUGAGUAAGUUGUUACACCCUAUUCUUCCACUCAACCAUCAUAAGUGAUAGAUCUUUGACUGCUUAUACCUGACCCUAAACAUGUUUUCUUUCUGUUGACUCAGUCUUUUGUUGGAGAUUGAUGGACAUUUUUAUCAUUCUGGUCAAGAUGUAAAACCCCAUGCCAGAAGCAGCAAAGUUGCCUGGAUUGGAUGAUCAUAUUUGAUUUUUUUGCACAAAACUGUUACAUGCUUUGCCUUAUUCUUGAUGUAUAUUUCAAUUGCUAUUGUUCAUAUCUGAACUUCUAAACUGUCGCCUGAUUUGAAGUGACAAGGGCUAGGUUUACACAACAGUUUACAGUACAAGCAUACUGUAUACUGAUCAAUGAAU